rnacentral:lncRNA from 1 species
UUCUACUUUAUUUCAUUGACAGAGCCCAGUCAUCAAUGGUGACCUCAUCAGCAUGGGAUAUGAUAAACCAUUAUACCCUGGCAGACCUGGUCCCUAACAGGAGAGUUGUAAAUGCAGUUGGUUAAAUGAAAGAACACCCAGAAACUUCUACUGAUAUCAACCAUGUUUAUAUUUGAAACAGAAUAUUGAACUGUAAACCAAAAAGAUGCCUGUGUUAAGUGUUAUGAUCCUACUGUCACUAAUCAUACUUAGGAUUGUGUUUGUAAGCUUUUCUGCAAAUCUACACAGACUGAUGCCAGUCCUGAAAUUACAGCCCAUGAUAUGAAUGAAAAUAUUACAUCAGCUUAUCAAAAAGAAGUACUGUACAUUAUUUAGGGAAUUUAAACAAGCGAAGUGUCUUGUCCAAGAACCCAGGCAAUGUACACAGCAUGUGUCCUUGUACAAGACACUAGAUCUUGGCUUGUAUCUCUCUCUCUAUCCAGAUGUAUAAAGCAAUAUAAAUGAUGUUCCUAUAGUAAAACAAUGUUAAUAAAGUGUCUUUUCAUUGCUGUCGA